rnacentral:rRNA from 1 species
CCCGCUGAACUUAAGCAUAUCAAUAAGCGGAGGAAAAGAAACUAACAAGGAUUCCCUUAGUAGCGGCGAGCGAAGCGGGAAGAGCUCAAAUUUGAAAGCUGGCGUCCUACGGGCGUCCGCAUUGUAAUCUAUAGAGGCGUUUUCUGUGCUGGACCGUGUCCAAGUCCCUUGGAACAGGGUAUCAAAGAGGGUGACAAUCCCGUACUUGACACGACAACCAGUGCUCUGUGAUACGUCUUCUACGAGUCGAGUUGUUUGGGAAUGCAGCUCAAAAUGGGUGGUGAAUUCCAUCUAAAGCUAAAUAUUGGCGAGAGACCGAUAGCGCACAAGUAGAGUGAUCGAAAGAUGAAAAGCACUUUGGAAAGAGAGUUAAACAGUACGUGAAAUUGUUGAAAGGGAAGCGCUUGCAAUCAGACUUGCCUGCGGUUGAUCAUCCGAUGUUCUCACCGGUGCACUCAAUUGCAUACAGGCCAGCAUCGGUUUUGGUGGUUGGAUAAAGUCCUUGGGAAUGUGGCUCCCUUCGGGGAGUGUUAUAGCCCAAGGUGCAAUGCAGCCUUCUGGGACCGAGGACCGCGCUUCGGCUAGGAUGCUGGCGUAAUGGUUGUAAGCGACCCGUCUUGAAACACGG